rnacentral:rRNA from 1 species
AAAGUUUGAUCAUGGCUCAGGACGAACGCUGGCGGCGCGCCUAACACAUGCAAGUCGAACGGAGUCAAGAGAAGCUUGCUUUUCUUGACUUAGUGGCGAACGGGUGAGUAACGCGUGAGUAACCUGCCCUGGAGUGGGGGACAACAGUUGGAAACGACUGCUAAUACCGCAUAAGCCCACGGCCCGGCAUCGGGCUGAGGGAAAAGGAUUUAUUCGCUUCAGGAUGGACUCGCGUCCAAUUAGCUAGUUGGUGAGGUAACCGG